CUCCGAUGUCUGAAUAUCUGCUUGUGCUUCCAAAUUCUAUUUUCUUUAUGCUCAGUAUCAGUCGGUGCAAAAUAAAAGUUCGCUUACCUAAUUCAAUUGACAGUACAUGUAAAUCAGUCAGUAUUGGAAACAAUAUUAUUUUAACAGUUCAUUUAGCAGCAGAAGGAAUAUUAUUUUAACAGUUCAUUUGGAGAGUGAAAAA
rnacentral:lncRNA from 7 species